UAAAGGUUUGGUCCUGGCCUUCCUAUUAGUUAUUAACAGAAUUACACAUGCAAGCCUCCACAUCCCGGUGAAGAUGCCCUCUAAAUCCAAAACGAUUAAAAGGAGCGGGCAUCAGGCACACUAAAUAGGUAGCCCACAACGCCUUGCUCAACCACACCCCCACGGGAUACAGCAGUGAUAAAAAUUAAGCCAUGAACGAAAGUUUGACUAAGCCAUGUUAAUAUUAAGAGUUGGUAAAUUUCGUGCCAGCCACCGCGGUCAUACGAUUAACCCGAAUUAAUAGGCUCACGGCGUAAAACGUGCUAAGGAUCACAAGACACUAAAGUUAAAAUUUAACCAGGCCGUAAAAAGCUACUGUUAAUAUAAAAUAUACCACGAAAGUGACUUUAUCAUCUCCAACAACACGAUAGCUGGGACCCAAACUGGGAUUAGAUACCCCACUAUGCCCAGCCCUAAACACAAAUAAUUUACACAACAAAAUUGUCUGCCAGAGAACUACUAGCAACAGCUUAAAACUCAAAGGACUUGGCGGUGCUUUACAUCCCUCUAGAGGAGCCUGUUCUGUAAUCGAUAAACCCCGAUAAACCUCACCACUCCUAGCUAAACCAGUCUAUAUACCGCAAUCAUCAGCAAACCCUUAAAAGGAAGAAAAGUAAGCACAAUAAAAAUACAUAAAAA
rnacentral:rRNA from 1 species